rnacentral:misc_RNA from 1 species
AUUGGCAUAUGACUUAACUACCCUAGCUAGCCGACUGAAUAAAUUCAUCUGAGAACCGAGAGCACCACAUUUGUGUCUGUUGAAUCUCGACGCUUGCAUGUGCACAACUUUUAGAGCACCAACUCCGCCGUUGAAGAAGGAGCUCCUGAGGGGCGGGCAGGCGACGAUCGCCCGCCUCAAAGACGCCGCCCGCAGUGACGAGGACGGCGGCGAGGGCAGGCACAGGCCGCCGCCGAUGGGGAUCUUGAUCGCCAUGCUCGAUCGACGGGAGUGAAGAGGAGGAGUUUUUUUGGUUUCGUAGGGAUGGGAUGCUCAGGUUUGUGUGGAGAAG